UUCCUGUAACAAAUAUGAUAUUAUUAUUUCAUGGAUUGGCUAUGACAUGCAACAAAUCAUGAAAGAUCUCGCAUUGGAGGUUCAAAUAGAAAAGUUCGGAAAUGGGAGGUGUAAUUGUAUGUAAAGAAUAUGCUAUUAUUGUUUCAUGGAUUGACUGCAAGACGCAACAACUCAUGGCAGAUCUUGCAUUAGAGGUUCAGAGAGAAAUGUCUUACAGGUUCAACAGAUAAAAUAAUAGUUGUAACAUCAGC